rnacentral:rRNA from 1 species
GACGAACGCUGGCGGCGUGCUUAACACAUGCAAGUCGAACGGAAAGGCCCUGCUUUUGUGGGGUGCUCGAGUGGCGAACGGGUGAGUAACACGUGAGUAACCUGCCCUUGACUUUGGGAUAACUUCAGGAAACUGGGGCUAAUACCGGAUAGGAGCUACUGCUGCAUGGUGGGGGUUGGAAAGUUUCGGCGGUUGGGGGUGGACUCGCGGCUUAUCAGCUUGUUGGUGUGGUAGUGGCUUACCAAGGCUUUGACGGGUAGCCGGCCUGCGAGGGUGACCGGCCACGUUGGGACUGGGAUGCGGCCCAGACUCCUACGGUAGGCGGCAGUGGGGUAUAUUGCACAAUGGGCGGAAGCCUGAUGCAGCAACGCCGCGUGCGGGAUGACGGCCUUCGGUUUGUAUACCGCUUUCGCCUGUGACGAAGCGUGAGUGACGGUAAUGGGUAAAGAAGCACCGGCUAACUACGUG